rnacentral:rRNA from 1 species
GCGAACUGGUGAGUAACACGUGGGAAACCUGCCCCUAAGCGGGGGAUAACACCUGGAAACAGAUGCUAAUACCGCAUAACAACUUGGACCGCAUGGUCCGAGCUUGAAAGAUGGCUUCGGCUAUCACUUUUGGAUGGUCCCGCGGCGUAUUAGCUAGAUGGUGGGGUAACGGCUCACCAUGGCAAUGAUACGUAGCCGACCUGAGAGGGUAAUCGGCCACAUUGGGACUGAGACACGGCCCAAACUCCUACGGGAGGCAGCAGUAGGGAAUCUUCCACAAUGGACGAAAGUCUGAUGGAGCGACGCCGCGUGAGUGAAGAAGGGUUUCGGCUCGUAAAACUCUGUUGUUAAAGAAGAACAUAUCUGAGAGUAACUGUUCAGGUAUUGACGGUAUUUAACCAGAAAGCCACGGUUAACUACGUGCCAGCAGCCGCGGUAAUACGUAGGUGGCAAGCGUUGUCCGGAUUUAUUGGGCGUAAAGCGAGCGCAGGCGGUUUUUUAAGUCUGAUGUGAAAGCCUUCGGCUCAACCGAAGAAGUGCAUCGGAAACUGGGAAACUUGAGUGCAGAAGAGGACAGUGGAACCCCAUGUGUAGCGGUGAAAUGCGUAGAUAUAUGGAAGAACACCAGUGGCGAAGGCGGCUGUCUGGUCUGUAACUGACGCUGAAGCUCGAAAGUAUGGGUAGCAAACA